rnacentral:rRNA from 1 species
GUGCCAGCAGCCGCGGUAAUACGAACUGUGCGAACGUUAUUCGGAAUCACUGGGCUUACAGGGUGCGUAGGCGGCUAUUCAGGUCAGGUGUGAAAGCCCUCGGCUCAACCGAGGAACUGCGCUUGAAACCGGAUGGCUCGAGUCAACUAGAGGUGCACGGAACUUCCAGUGGAGCGGUGAAAUGUGUUGAUAUUGGAAGGAACACCGGAGGCGAAAGCGGUGCACUGGGGUUGGUCUGACGCUGAGGCACGAAAGCCAGGGGAGCGAACGGGAUUAGAUACCCCCGUAGUCC